CCUACGUGAGGCAGCAGUGGGGAAUAUUGCACAAUGGGGGAAACCCUGAUGCAGCGAUGCCGCGUGAGCGAUGAAGUAUUUCGGUAUGUAAAGCUCUUUCAGCAGGGAAGAAAAUGACGGUAUCUAUCUAUUAAGCCCCGGCUAACUCCGGGCCAGCAGGCGCGGUAAUACGUAGGGGGCAAGCGUUAUCCGGAUGUACUGGGUGUAAAGGUAGCGUAGACGGCGGUGCAAGCCAGAUGUGAAAGCCCGGGGCUCAACCCCGGGACUGCAUUUGGAACUGUGCUGCUAGAGUGUCGGAGAGGCAGGCGGAAUUCCUAGUGUAGCGGUGAAAUGCGUAGAGAUUAGGAGGAACACCAGUGGCGAAGGCGGCCUGCUGGACGAUGACUGACGUUGAUGCUCGAAAGCGUGGGGAGCAAACAGGAUUAGAUACCCCUGUAGUC
rnacentral:rRNA from 1 species